UGAGGAAUCUUCCACAAUGGGCGAAAGCCUGAUGGAGCAACGCCGCGUGAAGGAUGAAGGCCUUAGGGUCGUAAACUUCUUUUAUAAGUGAAGAAUAUGACGGUAACUUAUGAAUAAGCACCGGCUAACUACGUGCCAGCAGCCGCGGUCAUACGUAGGGUGCAAGCAUUAUCCGGAGUGACUGGGCGUAAAGAGUUGCGUAGGUGGUUUGUUAAGUAGAUAGUGAAAUCUGGCGGCUCAACCGUACAGGCUAUUAUCUAAACUGGCAGACUCGAGAAUGGUAGAGGUAACUGGAAUUUCUUGUGUAGGAGUGAAAUCCGUAGAUAUAAGAAGGAACACCAAUGGCGUAGGCAGGUUACUGGACCAUUUCUGACACUGAGGCACGAAAGCGUGGGGAGCGAACGGG
rnacentral:rRNA from 1 species